CGCCAACACUGGGACUGAGAACUGCCCAGACUCCUACGGGAGGCUGCAGUCGAGAAUCAUUCGCAAUGGGCGAAAGCCUGACGAUGCGACGCCGUGUGAGCGAUGAAGGCCUUAGGGUCGUAAAGCUCUUUCGCUUGGGAACAAGAGGAGCUAGCUAACAUCUAGCAAAUUUGAGGGUACCAGGUAAAGAAGCAC
rnacentral:rRNA from 1 species